rnacentral:rRNA from 1 species
CCGACAACACUGGGAUAGCCUUUCGAAAGAAAGAUUAAUACCGGAUGGCUCCGCAUGGGUAAAGAAUUUCGGUUGUCGAUGGGGAUGCGUUCCAUUAGGCAGUUGGCGGGGUAACGGCCCACCAAACCUACGAUGGAUAGGGGUUCUGAGAGGAAGGUCCCCCACAUUGGAACUGAGCCACGAUCCAACCUUUACGGGAGGCAGCAGUGAGGAAUAUUGGUCAAUGGACGAGAGUCUGAACCAGCCAAGUAGCGUGAAGGAUGACUGCCUAUGGGUUGUAAACUUCUUUUAUACGGGAAUAAGUGAGCCACGUGUGGCUUUUUGUAUGUACCGUAUGAAUAAGGAUCGGCUAACUCCGUGCCAGCAGCCGCGGUAAUACGGAGGAUCCGAGCGUUAUCCGGAUUUAUUGGGUUUAAAGGGAGCGUAGGCGGGUUGUUAAGUCAGUUGUGAAAGUUUGCGGCUCAACCGUAAAAUUGCAGUUGAUACUGGCGACCUUGAGUGCAACAGAGGUAGGCGGAAUUCGUGGUGUAGCGGUGAAAUGCUUAGAUAUCACGAAGAACUCCGAUUGCGAAGGCAGCUUACUGGAUUGUAACUGACGCUGAUGCUCGAAAGUGUGGGUA